GGUUUGGCUCAGUGUCAUAGCACUUACCUGGCAUGCAAGAGACCAUGGGUUCAAUCCCCAGAACC
rnacentral:tRNA from 1 species